UACGGGGGGGGGCAAGCGUUGUUCGGAAUUACUGGGCGUAAAGGGCUCGUAGGCGGCCAACUAAGUCAGACGUGAAAUCCCUCGGCUUAACCGGGGAACUGCGUCUGAUACUGGUUGGCUUGAAUCCGGGAGAGGGAUGUGGAAUUCCAGGUGUAGCGGUGAAAUGCGUAGAUAUCGUAAGGAAGACCAGUGGCGAAGGCGGGUCUCUGGACAGUUCCUGACGCUGAGGCACGAAGGCCAGGGGAGGCAA
rnacentral:rRNA from 1 species